UAGUAACGGCGAGUGAAGCGGCAACAGCUCAAAUUUGAAAUCUGGCCUUCUGGUCCGAAUUGUAAUUUGUAGAGGAUGCUUUUGGUUAGGUACCUUCCGAGUUCCUUGGAACAGGACGCCUUAGAGGGUGAGAGCCCCGUACGGUUGGAUGCCGAGCCUCUGUAAAGCUCCUUCGACGAGUCGAGUAGUUUGGGAAUGCUGCUCUAAAUGGGAGGUAAAUUUCUUCUAAAGCUAAAUACCGGCCAGAGACCGAUAGCGCACAAGUAGAGUGAUCGAAAGAUGAAAAGCACUUUGAAAAGAGGGUUAAAUAGUACGUGAAAUUGUUGAAAGGGAAGGGCUUAUGACCAGACCUUUGCCUUGCGGAUCAUCCGGUGUUCUCACCGGUGCACUCCGCUUGGUUGAGGCCAGCAUCAGUUCUGGCAGCGGGAUAAAGACAGCAGGAAUGUGACUCCUCCGGGAGUGUUAUAGCCUGCUGUGUAAUACCGCUGCUGGGACUGAGGACCGCGCUUCGGCUAGGAUGCUGGCAUAAUGGUCAUCAGCCACC
rnacentral:rRNA from 1 species